rnacentral:siRNA from 1 species
GUUGCUAAUAAUUUUAAAGUCAUC